UCAAACCAUAUUUCAUAAUCAAGAUUAUAAAAAUGCUCAUUAUGAUGGUACUUACCUAAAUAUACGGUAAUGGAACUUAUAGAAGUCAUUAGCCUCAAAUGUGUCAUUGAAAGUGUCAAAUAACUCAUAUUAUCAUUAAUACAUUCCCAUACCAAAUCAAACAAGAGGUAAUUAUAAGGAGAGACCUUCACCAUGAACAUGGUAUAUUGACCGAUAUUAGUCAACAUCUCAUUUGUUUGUCUUGCUUUUCCAUCAACUAAUUUGAUUGUCAGAAAGGAGUCGAUUUAAGCGACCCAACCUAACCUUUGUUCUCUCUAUUUCUAUGUUGAAUUAGUCGAUAGGUGACACUUGGAUCCAAACUAUUAGGAGGUGGAUGAAAUAAGUAUCAAUUUAAUUUUUUUCGGAUUUACUAAAUUGGGGAAUGAUUGAGCACCUAUGGGGGAUAUUUAAGUAUGAUAGGCAGAAUGAUAAACUUCAACUACAUAAGCCUAAUGUUAUCACAACACCAUUCCGACAAUAAAACCAACAAUACCAACAAAGGGACAUUCAAACGUAAUAUGAAAAUUUUAUUUUAAAUAAAGCAAAAAAUCACGGAGAAUUUUUCUUUUAUUAUUAACAAGGGGAAUAGGAUUGCCUCACUAUGCUUCUAUGGGAUGCAAUUAUAUAUGAACACGUUGAGUAGGAAAAACCAUCAACUUAUUCCACCAAUACAAGGGAGAAAUACGAGGAUUUUUCCGAAGAGAAAACUCCAGUGAAUUGAGAAAUCAACCAGCCAGCUCCAUGGCAAAGGAAGAAAGCAAAAGCGCUCCUUCUCCACCAAUUUUGAUCUCAUAGUAACAGCACGCACAACGUACUCAUAAAUUAUGGUGGAAAACAAAAAAGGAUAUACCUCUUCAAAUUUUAUGCUCUCCUUUAGAUGAAGAAAAUUAUUAAGAAAUGGGGGAAAUAGAAAUGAAUCUAAAUUUUCU
rnacentral:lncRNA from 1 species